UACGUAGGUCGCAAGCGUUGUCCGGAUUUACUGGGCGUAAAGAGCGCGCAGGCGGCUGGUCAAGUCCGAUGUGAAAUCUCCCGGCUCAACUGGGAAACUGCAUCGGAAACUGAUCGGCUUGAAGAUGGGAGAGGGUAGUGGAAUUCCCGGUGUAGCGGUGAAAUGCGUAGAUAUCGGGAAGAACACCAGUGGCGAAGGCGCUCUACUGGGCCACAACUGACGCUGAGGGACGAAAGCUAGGGGAGCGAAAGGG
rnacentral:rRNA from 1 species